GAAAUGCGAUAAGUAAUGUGAAUUGCAGAAUUCAGUGAAUCAUCGAAUCUUUGAACGCACAUUGCGCCUAUUAGUAUUCUAGUAGGCAUGCCUGUUCGAGUAUCAUGAAAUCUUCAAAGUAAAUCUUUUGUUAACUCAAUUGGUUUCUACUUUGGUAUUGGAGGUCUUUGCAGCUUCACACCUGCUCCUCUUUGUUCAUUAGCUGGAUCUCAGUGUUAUGCUUGGUUCCACUCGGCGUGAUAAGUUAUCUAUCGCUGAGGACACUGUAAAAGGUGGCCAAGGUAAAUGCAGAUGAACCGCUUCUAAUAGUCCAUUGACUUGGACAAUACUUUUAUGAUCUGAUCUCAAAUCAGGUAGGACUACCCGCUGAACUUAAGC
rnacentral:misc_RNA from 1 species